rnacentral:rRNA from 1 species
CACGUAGGAUGCGAGCGUUGUCCAGAAUUAUUGGGCGUAAAGAGCUCGUAGGCGGUGUGUCGCGUCGGCCGUGAAAACUUGCAGCUUAACUGUGGGCGUGCGGUCGAUACGGGCAUCACUGGAGUUCGGCAGGGGAGACUGGAAUUCCUGGUGUAGCGGUGAAAUGCGCAGAUAUCAGGAGGAACACCGGUGGCGAAGGCGGGUCUCUGGGCCGAUACUGACGCUGAGGAGCGAAAGCGUGGGGAGCGAACAGG